UUUCAAAUCUUACGCAAUUUUUCCAAGUCAAGUCUCAUUCAUCCUUAAAUUCCCUUUGCAACUACCCCAAAACUGCUUCUAAAACCCUUACUUACCUCUCAGAGAUCAAAAUUUCCUUUGAUCUACAGAGCAUGUUUUGAAUCAGGUGGUUCACCAGAAAAUGUGGCUGAAUCGAUAUUGAACUUGUUAUGUAGGUUGUCUGCUUGGAGUUUUUGUCUCUGUAUUAAUCAACUUGUAGCUCAUAGAAUUUAUUUUCGGUCUGUAGACGUGUUGUACGACAU
rnacentral:lncRNA from 1 species